rnacentral:rRNA from 1 species
AUGAUGUUAUAUAUUGUUAUUGGGGGUUGGUUGGGCUUCAUAGGUCCAAAAGAACUAAUGGCUUGUGCUACUCGCCUAUGUUUCUGUUUGAUACUGAUACAACUCUACUCAGUAGCUGCAUCCAAUUCCCAUGCCCAUGGCGAUGGCCAUGGUAAUGCCACAACUUCUUCCUGCCAUCCGGACCAGGCUGCAGCACUUCUCCAACUAAAGCAGUCCUUCAUUUUCGACUACUUCACUACCACCCUGCCGUCAUGGCAACCUGGAACAGACUGCUGCCUCUGGGAGGGUGUGGGCUGCGAAGAUGGUGUAUUUCAUGGCCGCCAUGUCACUGUUCUUGACAUUAGUGUCCAUGGCCUCUACAGCUAUGGCUGCCAUGCUGCGCUCUUCAACCUCACCUCCCUGCACUACCUCGACCUCAGCAUGAACGAUUUUGGUGGAUCUCGCAUUCCGGCAGAUGGCUUCGAGAGGCUAUCCAAGCUCACUCACCUCAACCUUUCUUAUUCAGGCUUCUACGGUCAGAUUCCUAUCGCCAUCGGCAAACUCACAAGCCUCGUAUCAUUGGACCUUUCUUCAGUGCAUAAUAUUGAAUCAGCUGAAAUCACAAAUCUUUAUGCUAUCAUGGAUGGCUACAACCUUUUGGUGUUACGAGAGCCCAGCUUUGAGACCUUACUGGCAAACCUCAACAAUCUGAGGGAGUUGUACCUUGAUGGAGUGGACAUAUCUAGUAGCGGAGAGGAGUGGAGCAGUGCUCUAGGUAAAGCUGUCCCCCGUCUUCAGGUUCUUAGCAUGGCGUACUGCAAACUCAAUGGAGGCUUUCGUAAGGAGACUUCUUUGGAGACUUUGUAUCUAGAUUAUACUAAUUUCUCUUGUAUCAAGCUGAGCUCUUUGAGCAACCUCCCCUCUCUCAGGGGCCUAGGCUUUGAUGGAGGGUCAAUUUCUAUGGAACCUACUGAUUUACCGUUCCCUAUGCUUAACUCCUUGCAAAACCUGCAGCUCUCUUUUGCACGAUUUUCAGGGGAGUUAGGGUCAUUUUUCCUCUGGAUUAGAAGCCUUCAAAACUUGAAAAGCUUGCAACUCUCUUAUUGCUAUUCCUCCAAGAUAAUGGCCACCAUGAUUGGCAACCUGACCAACUUAACAAGGUUGGAAAUCACUUUAUGGGCCUAUGGGCAAAUACCACCAUCAAUUGGCAACCUUACCGAGUUGACUUCCUUGAGAAUCUCUGAUUGUGUCUUCUCUGGGCCAAUACCAACUUCAAUUGGCAAUCUCAAGAAACUAAGAAGCUUGGAGAUCACUAAUAUUGGCUCAUCGGGUUUUAUCACUAAAAAUACUGGCUUAUCAGGUCAAAUACCAACAGAUAUUGGAUUUCUCAGCAGAUUGAAGGUCUUAAAAUUAGUGGGCUGCAUAUUAUCUGGCGGAAUUCCAAGUACAAUUUCCAACUUGACUCAGCUGACGCAUGUGGAUCUUUCUCGCAAUAACCUUGGAGAUCCAACCAGUUCUGUGGCUCGGUCUCUUAUGUUCCUGGUCCAUCCUGGAGAUAGCAAAUUUGGGGAACACUUCUCAAAUUUACAAAUCAUUGACAUAGCCUCAAACAACUUCUCUGGUAGUUUAGAUCCACGAUGGUUUGAGAGAUUGACAUCUAUUAUGGCAAAGUCCAAUGACGCAGGAAGUCGACAAUGGUUCGGUAAUCCGGUAUUCUACGAUUCUAACUACUACCAUGAUACUGCUACAAUCACAUACAAAGGGCAAUACAUGGCAUUUGAGAAAGUAUUGCUUAUCUUAACUGCAAUCGACUUUUCAAAUAAUGCAUUUGAUGGCGACAUUCCUGAGUCAGUUGGAAGGCUAGUUUCACUAUAUGUAUUGAACAUGUCAUACAAUGCAUUUACGGGCAGGAUUCCUGCACAAAUGGGUGAGAUGCGCCAAUUGGAAUCACUAGACCUGUCUUGGAACAAGCUUUCUGGGGAGAUUCCACAAGAGCUGGCAGAUUUAACAUUUCUUGGUGUGUGA